rnacentral:rRNA from 1 species
ACCGUUGGAAACAGUGGCUAAGACUGGAUAGGAAGAUAAAAGGCAUCUUUUAUCUUUUAAAAGACCUAGUAAUAGGUAUGCUUUAGGAGGGGCUUGCGCCAUAUUAGUUAGUUGGUAGGGUAAUGGCCUACCAAGACGAUGAUGUGUAGCUGGACUGAGAGGUUGAACAGCCACAUUGGGACUGAGACACGGCCCAAACUCCUACGGGAGGCAGCAGUAGGGAAUUUUCGGCAAUGGAGGAAACUCUGACCGAGCAACGCCGCGUGAAUGACGAAGUACUUCGGUAUGUAAAGUUCUUUUAUCAAGGAAGAAAAGCAAAUGGCGAACCAUUUGUUUGCCGGUACUUGAUGAAUAAGCCCCGGCUAAUUAUGUGCCAGCAGCCGCGGUAAGACAUAAGGGGCAAGUGUUAUCCGGAAUUAUUGGGCGUAAAGGGUGCGUAGGCGGUCUAGUAAGUCAGUGGUGUAAUGGCAACGCUUAACGUUGUCCGGCUAUUGAAACUGCUAAACUUGAGUUAGAUAGAGGCGAGUGGAAUUCCAUGUGUAGCGGUAAAAUGCGUAAAUAUAUGGAGGAACACCAGAGGCGUAGGCGGCUCGCUGGGUCUUAACUGACGCUGAGGCACGAAAGCGUGGGGAGCAAACAGGAUUAGAUACCCUGGUAGUCCACGCCGUAAACGAUGAGUACUAAGUGUCGGGUUAAACCGGUACUGAAGUUAACACAUUAAGUACUCCGCCUGAGUAGUACGUACGCAAGUAUGAAACUUAAAGGAAUUGACGGGACUCCGCACAAGCGGUGGAUCAUGUUGUUUAAUUCGAAGAUACCCGAAAAACCUUACCAGGUCUUGACAUGUUUUUGCAAAAUGAUAGUAAUAUCGUGGAGGUUACCAGAAACACAGGUGGUGCAUGGUUGUCGUCAGCUCGUGUCGUGAGAUGUUAGGUUAAGUCCUAAAACGAGCGAAACCCUUAUCGUUAGUUGCCAGCACGUUAUGGUGGGGACUUUAACGAGACUGCCAAUGAUAAAUUGGAGGAAGGUGAGGAUCACGUCAAAUCAGCAUGCCCCUUAUGACCUGGGCUACAAACGUGAUACAAUGGCUGUUACAAAGGGUAGCUGAAACGCAAGUUCUUGGCCAAUCCCCAAAAACAGUCCCAGUCCGGAUUGAAGUCUGCAACUCGACUUCAUGAAGUUGGAAUCGCUAGUAAUCGCGAAUCAGCAUGUCGCGGUGAAUACGUUCUCGGGGUUUGUACACACCGCCCGUCAAACCACG